UACGUAGGGGGCAAGCGUUGUCCGGAAUCAUUGGGCGUAAAGAGCGUGUAGGCGGCCCGAUAAGUCCGCUGUGAAAGUCCAGGGCUCAACCCUGGGAUGCCGGUGGAUACUGUCGGGCUCGAGUCCGGAAGAGGAGUGUGGAAUUCCUGGUGUAGCGGUGAAAUGCGCAGAUAUCAGGAGGAACACCAAUGGCGAAGGCAGCACUCUGGGACGUGACUGACGCUGAGACGCGAAGGCGUGGGGAGCGAACGGG
rnacentral:rRNA from 1 species